UACAGAGGUGGCAAGCGUUGUUCGGAAUUACUGGGCGUAAAGGGCGCGUAGGCGGUUCGAUAAGUCCCGUGUGAAAUCCCUCGGCUCAACUGAGGAACUGCACGGGAAACUGACGGGCUUGAGUUCGGGAGAGGGAAGCGGAAUUCCGGGUGUAGCGGUGAAAUGCGUAGAUAUCUGGAGGAACACCGGUGGCGAAGGCGGCAUCCUGGACCAAUACUGACACUGAGGAGCGAAAGCCAGGGGAGCAAACGGG
rnacentral:rRNA from 1 species